rnacentral:lncRNA from 1 species
UGGCUGGUUGAAUAGUACUAUAUAUUUUUUGGUUCGAUGGCGGCGCACAAUAUGGUAUGUGCUGGUUCGAUGGGACUCAUCUAUGUGAUGUGCUCAUCUCACAUCAUUCAAUAACAUCAUUCACGAGCUACUCACCUCCUACUUGUUCGUUAGAGAGGUGGAGGGGUGAUGGAGUGGAGGAAAAAGUGGAUGCUUUGUUCUUCAAUUAGAGAGAGAGGGGUGUUCUAAUGAGAUUUGAACGG